rnacentral:rRNA from 1 species
AUGGGGCUUGGCAAGACAAUGCAGGUUUCUGCCUUCUUGGCAGGAUUGUUCCAUUCUGGUCUAAUACAGAGGGUGCUAGUCAUCGCCCCGAAGACACUUCUCACUCACUGGAUCGAGGAGCUUACAGUAGUCGGUCUCAGGCACAUGAUCAACGACUACUCUGGUUCCGACCUAUAUAUUCGUGACUUUGAGCUUCAACAUGCCUUCCAGGAAGGGGGUAUCCUGUUGACAACGUAUGAUAUUGCCCGGAUCAACUAUAGGCUGAUAAGAGGAGACUUCUAUAAUGAUGCUGACGAGGAGGAGGGGGGGAAGAUUUGGAAUUAUGUUGUUCUUGACGAGGCACACUUUAUCAAGAACCCCAAGACACAAAGAGCCCAAAGCCUAUUUGAAAUACCUUGUGUCCAUCGGAUCGCCAUCAGUGGAACGCCUAUACAAAAUAACUUGAAGUUUCAGAACAGUAAAUUAAGGGAACGUAUAAAGCCAUAUUUCUUGCGACGUAUGAAAAAUGAAGUGUCACUUGAGACUGGUUCGACAGAUGAUAAACAGCUUCCGAAGAAGAAUGAGCUAAUUAUCUGGCUGAAAUUAACAGAUUGCCAGAGGAAACUAUAUAAAGCAUUUCUGAACUGUGAGCUAGUUCAUUUAGCAUCGCAAGGAAAUCCCUUGGCUGCUCUCACGGUAUUGAAGAAAAUAUGUGAUCACCCACAGAUAUUGACCAAGAGAGCUGCUGAGGACAUCCUGGAAGGCAUGGAUGGAAUGUCAAAUAAUCAGGAUAUGUUGAUGGCUGAAAAUAUGGCCAUGAACCUCGCUGAUAUGGCUCAUGCUGAUGAAGCACUGCAAGCCGGUCAAGAAGUCUCCUGCAAGUUAUCUUUUAUCAUGUCCUUGUUGAGGAAUCUUCUUGAAGAGGGACACCAUAUUCUUAUUUUUUCAAACACUCGAAAAAUGCUAAACCUGAUUUAGGUAUGUUGCCAAUUGUUCUUUGUGCUGGAGUGCAUGCCGUGUUUUUGUGAUAUAGUAUUCAAAUUAGAGUUAUUAUUUUGUAUGCAUUGUUGUAUUUAUGGUUUUCACAUAGUACAUGAUAAACUCUGUGAGUGGAGUAAAUGGGUGAUUUCUUCUUACAUAAUACUCCCUCCGUCCCAAAAUAACUGUCUUAACCUUAGUAAAAUUUUGUACUAG